CCAGACUCCUACGGGAGGCAGCAGUGGGGGAUAUUGCACAAUGGGGGAAACCCUGAUGCAGCGACGCCGCGUGGGUGAAGAAGUAUUUCGGUAUGUAAAGCCCUAUCAGCAGGGAAGAAAGAAGACGGUACCUGACUAAGAAGCCCCGGCUAACUACGUGCCAGCAGCCGCGGUAAUACGUAGGGGGCAAGCGUUAUCCGGAUUCACUGGGUGUAAAGGGAGCGUAGACGGCGACGCAAGUCUGGAGUGAAAGCCCGGGGCCCAACCCCGGGACUGCUCUGGAAACUGCGGCGCUGGAGUACGGGAGGGGCAGGCGGAAUUCCUGGUGUAGCGGUGAAAUGCGUAGAUAUCAGGAGGAACACCGGUGGCGAAGGCGGCCUGCUGGACUGCAACUGACGUUGAGGCCCGAAAGCGUGGGGAGCAAACAGGAUUAGAUACCCGAGUAAA
rnacentral:rRNA from 1 species